rnacentral:rRNA from 1 species
GCUUUACUGCAGCUUGAUAUUGAAUUUGGGUACGAUCUGUACAGGAUAGGUGGGAGCCGUUGAACCUUGAGCGCCAGCUUGAGGGGAGGCAUCCUUGGGAUACCACCCUGAUCGUAUCUAGGUUCUAACUUGGUACCGUGAUCCGGUACGAGGACAGUGUCAGGUGGGCAGUUUGACUGGGGCGGUCGCCUCCUAAAGAGUAA